AUACGAAAGGUGCAAGCGUUGUUCGGAUUUACUGGGCGUAAAGAGAUCGUAGGUGGUUUGUUAAGUCGGAUGUGAAAUCCCGGGGCUCAACCCCGGAACUGCAUUCGAUACUGGCAGGCUAGAGUUUGGGAGGGGUAAGCGGAAUUCCGUGUGUAGCAGCGAAAUGCGUAGAUAUACGGAGGAACACCUGAGGCGAAGGCGGCUUACUGGACCAAUACUGGCACUGAGGAUCGAAAGCGUGGGUAGCAAACAGGAUUAGAUACCCCUGUAGUCC
rnacentral:rRNA from 1 species